rnacentral:rRNA from 1 species
UACGUAGGUGGCGAGCGUUGUCCGGAAUUACUGGGUGUAAAGGGCGUGUAGGCGGGGAAGCAAGUCAGAUGUGAAAUCCCGGGGCUCAACUCCGGAGUUGCAUCUGAAACUGUUUUUCUUGAGUGCUGGAGAGGAAAGCGGAAUUCCUAGUGUAGCGGUGAAAUGCGUAGAUAUUAGGAGGAACACCAGUGGCGAAGGCGGCUUUCUGGACAGUAACUGACGCUGAGGCGCGAAAGCGUGGGGAGCAAACAGGAUUAGAUACCCGGGUAGUCCCUGA